rnacentral:lncRNA from 1 species
UUGUCAAAUACAAGGCAAAAGAGGAAAAAGAGUAUAUUCUCUAGCUCUUUCAGAAAGCAUGGAGUUGUUUCUUAAUCUGUACACAAGAGAAUCAACAAAAUCCAAGGUGACAUCAAAGGAAUAGAUCCUACUCAUCAAAAAAUAAAUAAAUUAAAGCCUAAAAUGUUGCCAUGGCAAAAUGAAAGGAUCUACAAUGUUACCCAGCAGGCUGUUGGCAUUCUUGUAAACAAAUAAGUUAAGGGAAGAUUCUUGCCAGGAGAAUUUAAUGUGCACAUUGAGCAUAUUUUGCAGUUUAAGAGCCAAGUUAGCUUUCUAAUAUGCACAAAGCAAAAUGAUCAGAUUAAUAAGAGAGCCAAAGAGAAAUGUACCAAAGUUCGACUGAAACAUCAGCCGACCCUUCCCAAGAGGAAACCUCUGGGAUGAAUAAAAAUUAAUUAAUUAAUUAAUUAAUUAAUUAAUGAGCAUGAAACUGAGAUGCUGGCAUGCAUUCCUCUGGAC